ensembl:lincRNA
GUCCAUAUAUGGGGCUCGCUGAGGACUGUACAUAAACAUUGUCAUCAUGUGCGUUAGGUACAGGGGACAAAAUGUUCAGCUGCAUUCUAUUGGACAAAUCACAGUUCUAAACAUAGUAAGAACAACACUACUUUUCUGAAACAGAAAAUCGCCAUUGGCUUCUCAGCAUGGUGGAAAUGACAACUGGAAUCACACAAAGGAAUUUGGGAGGAAAAGAGAAGAUGGUAUUUCAGCUGUGGGUAAGAACCUUUAACAACUCUCUCAUGCUUGCUCACUGCAGAAGAUUCAGCCAUCUGUCAAAGCCCGUCAACACGUGCUUGUCCUCUCUGAAACUUCAUUGGGGAUCAAACUUCAGCAGAGACCUAUGAUUUAGACGUUAAAAAAAAUAUGAUGACUUUUCAACGUGGAGAUGGAAAUCAGAACAACGACAUUGGCAGGAAGAUUUAUUCCUGCCUUUAUGACCUCAAGACCUGGCCCAUCUCUGCCCACCAACCCCAUCACAUCAAGGUAUUAGCAUUUGCGUGACUGGCCCAUUGUUCUGAGCUCUCUUCCCCUUCAGAUUGUGCUGUCUUCCGGGAGGGGCUACCAUUCUCUUUGGUUCUCUUGACCUCAGCCCUGCGGCAGCCUCGGGCUGUGCUCCCGUUAAGUGGUGUCUGUCUGGGAGACGGGAAGGACUUUGAUAAAACACCACUGGUUGGAUUCAGCUCCCUUAGUGAGUGACGGGAGAUAAGAGACCCAGUAAAGACAGACAUUUGGGUGUCAGUGUUUGUGUUUGGGAGAGAAGGAAGUUUAUUUGGAGACUUGAGAAGGAGGCUCUGUUCUUUAUAAAACAACAGAGGGAAGUUUAGCCUUCGCGUAGGCAGCUUCCAUGAGGGAGCAGAUGGGGCUUUCAAGGCGCAGGAAUGUUUCCAGAUGCCACAUGUGCCUUUGGAAGGCAAAGGCCAAGUGCUGCAAUGAGCUGUGUAGGCAACAAGGUUGCCCUGGGACCUCGGGAGCCAUGAUCGUCUCUAAGAAGGCAUAGAGGCUGUCCCUCUCCCCAAGGCCACCCUCAGCCAACACUGCCAACAAGAGCAAAUCAGGCAGAGCUGAGGUCUCAGGAGGACAGCCGGCAGAAAGGGCUGGGGGGUGGGGGGAGGUGAAUCAGACUUAUCUCCUUUGUCCCAGUGCCAGGGCAGAAGGGCAUAGGCUGAGGGCAUGUAAUAGUCUCAACAUGGCCUGAGUGAAUCACCUUCAUCUUCACUCUAGGACUCUGCUUUGUGUUCGCCAAGCAUGAGACCUGAUCAUCGUUCUCUUGGGGUAGCUCUGGAAGAUGCUGCUCGUGUCUGUUAACUCAUUUGUGCACUGAGAUGGACCAUGUUUUGCCCACUUUUUGUGCUAUAUGUCACCUUUCCAUGUUGUCAUGAACUUUCAAGUUCCCAAGCCACUGAAGACUCCCAGCUGAUAUUACCUGUCUAGUGUUGGGGCAGCCAUAAUCCUGUAAUACUCCUCGGGUGGUUUGGGGUGACAGUGAGGGUGUUGGGAGCCUGUGCAUGAGAUCUGGACUCAGGAUAACAUGCCUGGUAUGUGGGAGAGAGAUUUAAGGGUAUGCUCUAUGCUCCUCUUAGUCACUCUCCUUGGCUGGAGGCACACGCACGUGUGUGUGUGUGUGUGUGUGUGUGUGUGUUUGUACAUAUGCGUGUAUGUGUCUACAUAUAGUCUGUUUCUCAUUAUGGUAUUAAGGGAGAAUUCGUGAGGAAUAUGGUAAUGGGUGUUUUUCCUCUGCAAAAUGAAUCUCAACAGUUUAGGAAUGUUAACAAAAAAUAAAAGGGGUUAAGCAUGUGGCUAUGAUAUGAAACGGGCUCUGGAAUUCGUCUGGCUGGUUUGAAUCCCAAUUCUAUCCACUUACCAGCUGUGUGAUGUUUGUUAAGUUGUUUAACUUCCCCAAGCCCCCCAGGUUUUCCAUUUUAAAGAUCAGGUUAAUCAUUGUAUUUACAUUAUAGGGUUAUUGUGAGGCUUAAAUGAGUUAAUCCACAGAAAGUGUUUGGCACAGUGCCCAUCCCAUUGUAAAGGAUUUAUAAAUGUAAGUUACUGCUAUGAUUAAUCAAUAUCUCUAACAGCCUCUCAGUGUUUCAUUAUAGAUGGGCAUCGUAUCUUUGCUGAACUCAUGUAUACUCUCGGCUUCACCAUCGUUUGGAGUAACUGCCCUUCCAGGUGGGUGUUCUUGGGCAGCUGGAGGUCCCUGAGAGCAGCUGUCCUCUUCACAGCCACUGCUCCUCAAUGUCACACUGAACGUCACCUGGCCUGGGGUUGUGGGUGCCUAUCCUCCUCCCGGGCCUCCCUCUAGGUGUGGACUGCUGGCCAAGCUCACCAGAGCUCUCUUUUCUAAAGGAUCGAAUCCACAUCUCUCCAACAUGAUUUCCCUCCAUGAUUUUAAUAAGUUCAUCACCUAAUUGAAAAAGCCACGCAAAUGGCAGGCGAAGCCGUGGGAGAGAACGAGUGUGGGGUGUGGUUGCAAAUGUGUGUGCGUGCAACUGUGCACAUGAGUGUGUUCAUGGCUGCGUGCACCCUCAUGGAGUGAGGUGAAGGAAAAUGAAAACCAUAAAUCCCAUCCUGCUGCUCACAGAGCAUCUUUGGAGUUGGAGUCUAAAGAUUGUAGCUGAACUCUGCCAGUUCAUUCAUUAUUUAAUCCUUUAAUUGAUGACCAUGGAGGAAAGAUGACAGCAGCACAUCCUUGGCAGGGAGGCAAAUUCCAUUUAUUUGUUUAUUACUGUUGCACAAUUCAUCUAGUGGAGAGUGAGUGACGGGAGGCCACCAUGUGUCAAGGUUCCGAAUGUUGUUAUAAAUAACAAUUAAUCCACUUAGAUAUCUGGCCCCACUCAACCUGAAGAAUCCCAUUGGAUAGAAAAGAUUCCAGAGGAGAAUUUUGAGGAGCAAACAGAGCUUUCCAUUUUCUUGGCUCUCUGCUGCUACUCUGGUCAUUCCAAAAGUGCCUGAGGUUUUCUGAGAUGAUGAAUAUUCACGAGUGUUUGUAUCAUCUCUUAACUCCUAUUGUUUUACUGCCAGCAUCCCUUCUUUGGCAGUUAAUCACACAUUACCUCCGGAUGUUUCUUGAAUUGCUACGUUAAGCUGCUAAAUUUUCUAUUAUGCAUUUGUUAUCUAUAUAUUGUCUCCUUAAAAAGACUGUAAACUUCCUUGAAGGCAGGGAUUAUCCCUUAGCAUAGGUACGGGGUGGAUGUUUCCUAACAGAGGAAGUGAAAAUUGAUUGAAUUCCUAUUGUGUCGUGGGACUUGUGCUUAUAGCCUUCGUACACUUUCAGCAAGAGUUGAAUGUGGAGAAAAUGCAGCUAGGAUCGCUCUGUUAAAUUAAGCAAGCAGAAGGCCAUUAGCCCAUGGCGGUCUCCGCACUUAGAGUUCCUGUGCAACAAAUCUCAGCCUAACUUAUUACACAAACAAACUGAAACCUAAUUUAGGAGGUUUUCUUUUACUUGGUAACUAAUAGCAGGGUUUCAGCCAAUCACAAGCAGCCGAGCUUCAGCCAACUGCAGGCAGCCAAUGGAUCAGCUCAUGUCCAAGUAAGGUAAACUAGCUUCAGCCAAUCAGGUGAUUUUGCCACUUCACCUCUGUUUUCAGCCUACAAGAGCCCACUGUCCACACUGCAGAGCUGAGCUCUCCGAACCUCUUCCGUCCUGAGUGCUGCCUGGUUCAAAAUUGUUUUUUGCCCAAAUAAACGCUG